GCCUGCCUGACAGAUUUAAAAUUAGAGCCAGAGGGCACCGGCCUUCUUGAGGAUGGGCACGAGCUCGCCGGAGAUGUGGACGGCCAUGAGCCGGUCGAGCCCGCCGAGGAGCUUCCCGCCCACGAACACCGCGGGCAGCGCGGCGGCGGCGGCCUCCGCGCCGGCCGGGACGACCCCGGCGAGCGCGGCCUCGUCCGCGACCUCGUGCACGGCCGGGUUCACCCCGAGCCCCUGCAGCAGCCGCUUCACCACGUGGCUCAGGCAGCACCCGCGCCGCCCCACCACCAGCACCGGGCUCUCCGCCACGGCCCUCCCGACCUCCGCCCUGCCGCCGUCGCCGUCGUCGUCCGUCCCGCCCGCGGCGUCGGCCCGGGCGCGCUCCUCCGCGACGGUCGCCGCCGCCGCCGGCUCAGGCUCCGGCUUCACGGCGACGACGGCGGCCGCCUCGCCCGCCGGCAUCAGCCACGGCCGGGCGCUGCUGUAGGGGAUGGCCUGGUACAUUACUUGCCGACGUACGUGCGUCAGCGCUUGUCGUUCGGGCCGCCGAGUCUCCUCUUCCCCCCCCUAACUUUUUUGUUCUCUCUCCGUCUUUUCCGCGCGGGGCGUGGAGCGUGCUCCGUGUGGGCGGGUGAUGGUUGGGUUGGGGCGCUGGACGCGGG
rnacentral:misc_RNA from 1 species